rnacentral:rRNA from 1 species
ACCUCAUAAAGUGCGUCGUAGUCCGGAUUGGAGUCUGCAACUCGACUCCAUGAAGUCGGAAUCGCUAGUAAUCGUGGAUCAGAAUGCCACGGUGAAUACGUUCCCGGGCCUUGUACACACCGCCCGUCACACCAUGGGAGUGGGUUGCAAAAGAAGUAGGUAGCUUAACCUUCGGGAGGGCGCUUACCACUUUGUGAUUCAUGACUGGGGUGAAGUCGUAACAAGGUAACCGUAGGGGAACCUGCGGUUGGAUCACCUCCUUA